rnacentral:tRNA from 1 species
GGGGGUAUAGCUCAGUGACAGAGCACAUGCUUAAUAUGUACGAGGUCCUGGGUUUAAUUUUCAGUACCUCCA